rnacentral:lncRNA from 1 species
GGAAUGCUGACCCUGUGCUAUAUGAUCACAUUUACUCUUUAAAGCAAUGCUUUGAGGCCAAGCUAUAAAUAAAGGGUGGACUGACCUUGUCAACUGUUAAAUUGGAGCCGUGGUGCGUUGCCUAGAACAUUGCGGAUGACCCCGAGCAGCACAGCAGAUCAACGGCUGAGAAAGAGCUCAUUCAGCUCAUCUAACUAGGAUGCUGUCC